AGAUAGGAUGUUGUAUCCAAGUUGAAAGCUAAGGUAAGCAUUGUAUUCAAUCUUUCCUUUUCUACCAUUUUAAGUUGCAUAUUGUUACAAGACCUGACCAUUUUGACCCCUUCACUAUGAAUGGGUCGAUUCGGUUUAUGUUAUCUCUAAUGGCUAAAAUGGGUUCAAAUUUGACAAUAGUGUAGUUUUAAUUAAUACAAUCUACUAAAUACUUUAUCCAAACAGGUAAAAUUUUAUAUGUCGCCAUUUAGACCUUUAAAUUUCACGGGCAGCUCCUCCGUCUUAUAAGGGGCUGACUUCUGCCAUUCAUUAGGUCCAGGAUGGGUUAACUUAUACAAGUGUGUAGUGUGUACUCUGCACCACUCAACCCGUGUAAGAGCUUAAGCUAAACUCCUUUUGUUUUCAUGUAAAUCUCAAAUACAUAAUAGGAUGAUCUAAUUGCUAAUUAUGUGUUAAUACUUGAAAUUUCGUAUGAUAUCACUAUAAGCUAAAUAAUCCUAGCAGGGGUCAAGGGGCCGCACUCCUUGUGGCAAUCACAUCAAACUUGGUCUUUUGUUAUGUAUUUGGACUUUAAAGAGAGUCCAUUUACAUUGAGUUCAUAAAAAACACACGAUUUAGAAGUAAGAAAAGAAAAAAAAAAGCGACAGAUACAUUACGUGCUCUGAUGCGCACCUAAUGUAAAUGCUGAAAAGCUGGCCACAACUAGGAUUUUUGAUGUGUUAAGUAGAUUGCCACUUUACCCUAUAUUUUGCCCAACUUUACUUAUAUUAAGUACAGUUACCAACUUCUUAGCGCUCCCCCCCCCCCCCCCCCCAAACCCCCCAAUCUGUUUUGAAAAAAAAAAACAGUAAUAAAUUCAUAGACGGGAUUGCAAAGUUCUCUGUUUGGAAUUUCAUAAAUGAGAUUGAAAAAUUGUGUGUUUGGAAUCGCUUAUUAUUUCUAUUUCACAUCAACACUUUGCAUAUUUGUGGUCUUGAAGUCUUAUAUGCAGGUGUAUACACUCAACCUAAAUCUAAAGAAGUCAAGUCACACUACCAGCUCUAAUAGUUGUUUCUAUUAUCUUAAAGGUACGAUUUGAUUGAUGGCAUGAUAUAAUUGAAGCCGAACAUAUUUCGUUAGGUGAUGAUUGUUUUUUCAAUUGGUUAAAGACGAAUUCGAGGUUAUUGGUUACGAAGCUCCAACAAGUAGAAGUACUAGAGUAAUAGGCUUUCAAUUUAUAUUUCAAACCAGAAAAACGUAUUUCUUUCAUUUAUUUAUCUUUUCGGUUUUGUUACAUCUAUAGUACGAUGCUUUGUUGUAUUUUAAUCUGCAACUUCAGAUUUCCAUAA